rnacentral:rRNA from 1 species
AAACCUGCGAAACUCGAAUGAACGAACGGAGAGAUUCAUCGACAUCCGACGGCGUACGGGCGCGCGCUUCGAUGUCGCGCCGGCUCCCCUCGUGGGUGUCGUGUGCGGCACGGGUCGCGUUCGAACGUCCGUCGGCGUCGUGCACUUCUCUCUUAGUAAUGCAUCGCGACCCGUUCCCUGUUGGCUUAAGCGCCGUUCGAUUCGCCCAGUGGUAGGCUUUUGACUACCGCUGGACCGUGACGGUCGCCGGCCGGCGGGGGACGGUAUUCGUAUGAAACGCGCACGCGCCUCGUGCGCGUCCGGCCCGACGCAAGCUCGCGCCGUACCUCGGUCGCGGUCCUGCCUAUGUGCGGACCGCGACGCGGUGCCGCUGUCGUCGCAGCCGUGUUGUCUCGGACAGUGCGUGUCUCAGUCUGCGAUGAGUC